rnacentral:rRNA from 1 species
GACGAACGCUGGCGGCGUGCUUAACACAUGCAAGUCGAACGGAAAGGCCCUGCUUUUGUGGGGUGCUCGAGUGGCGAACGGGUGAGUAACACGUGAGUAACCUGCCCUUGACUUUGGGAUAACUUCAGGAAACUGGGGCUAAUACCGGAUAGGAGCUCCUGCUGCAUGGUGGGGGUUGGAAAGUUUCGGCGGUUGGGGCUGGACUCGCGGCUUAUCAGCUGGUUGGUGGGGUAGUGGCUUACCAAGGCUUUGACGGGUAGCCGGCCUGAGAGGGUGACCGGCCACAUGGGGACUGAGAGACGGCCCAGAAUCCUAUGGGAGGCAGCAGUGGGGAAUAUUGCACAAUGGGCGGAAGCCUGAUGCAGCAACGCCGCGUGCGGGAUGACGGCCUUCGGGUUGUAAACCGCUUUCGCCUGUGACGAAGCGUGAGUGACGGUAAUGGGUAAAGAAGCACCGGCUAACUACGUG